rnacentral:sRNA from 1 species
UCUUCACAUAGAGCUUGUAAAUGUGAGAGGACAAGGCAUGGUCUCAUCUGGUGGUUCAAAUCCAUCCCUUGCCUUGCUGUUCAGAGAACCCCCAUUGGGUAUUCUACCAUAGAAACAAACUCCUGAGAGAGAUCCCGUGUUGGUGAUGCGGGUCCAUCACCCAAGUUUCCUGGGAGCCUGGGGCUAAAGGAUCACAAGGCCAAGGCCAUCUUGGCUGACUUCAUGAGACGCUGUCUUCAAAUAAAAAGCAAAUGAAGACAGGCGGUGCAGCCUCCUGGCAUAACGCAUACCCAGCAUACAUGAGGCCUUGGGUCCAGUUCCCGGUACUGGGAGCAGAUGGUGAGGAGAGUAAUAUCGAAGACAUUUAAUGCAAUUUUUAGAUCACCAGUAUGGAUCUGAUGGGACCCUUCUUGCCUGCAGUUGUUCAAUGGGAAUUGGCUUGUGACUGUCUCAGAUAGAAACCAACCUGGAGGGGAUCAGUGCGGUGGACAUCUUGAGAGACUGCCUCUCACAGAGAAGAUUCUUCAUUGACUGAGCCCUUGCAGACAUAAUGUUAUCAUUCCAAACAUACAGAGCUGCCAUCCCCAAGGAGAGAUGCUUUCUAUUUGAGGCUCACCAGCUCUGCAUGCUGAUUUUCGAAGAGAUAAAAAGAGCAUCUGGCCAGCAUAGCACAGACUC